rnacentral:rRNA from 1 species
GACGAACGCUGGCGGCGUGCUUAACACAUGCAAGUCGAACGGAAAGGCCCUGCUUGCAGGGUACUCGAGUGGCGAACGGGUGAGUAACACGUGGGUGAUCUGCCCUGCACUUCGGGAUAAGCCUGGGAAACUGGGUCUAAUACCGGAUAGGAGCCAUUUUUAGUGUGAUGGUUGGAAAGUUUUUUCGGUGUAGGAUGAGCUCGCGGCCUAUCAGCUUGUUGGUGGGGUAAUGGCCUACCAAGGCGGCGACGGGUAGCCGGCCUGAGAGGGUGGACGGCCACAUUGGGACUGAGAUACGGCCCAGACUCCUACGGGAGGCAGCAGUGGGGAAUAUUGCACAAUGGGCGCAAGCUUGAUGCAGCGACGCCGCGUGGGGGAUGACGGCCUUCGGGUUGUAAACUCCUUUCGCUAGGGACGAAGCUUUUUGUGACGGUACCUAGAUAAGAAGCACCGGCUAACUACAUG